AUCUAGGUAGUUUAAUUAUAAAAAUUCUAAUUUGUGGUAUUAGAGAUAUAACUAGUUAUCUUAGAUU
rnacentral:tRNA from 1 species